GACAGAGGUGCUAAGCGUUAGGCGGAAUCACUGGGCUUAAAGCGUGUGUAGGCGGAAUUGUAAGUACCUUGUGAAAUCCCACGGCUCAACCGUGGAACUGCUUGGUAUACUGCUUUUCUUGAGCCACUUAGGGGCUGUCGGAACAAACGGUGGAGCGGUGGAAUGCGCAGAUAUCAGGAGGAACACCGGUGGCGAAGGCGGGUCUCUGGGCAGUAACUGACGCUGAGGAGCGAAAGCGUGGGGAGCGAACAGG
rnacentral:rRNA from 1 species